AUACGGAGGGUGCAAGCGUUGUUCGGAAUCACUGGGCGUAAAGGGCGCGCAGGCGGUCCUGCAAGUCAGAUGUGAAAGCCCACGGCUCAACCGUGGAAGUGCAUUUGAAACUGCAGGACUUGAGUAUCAGAGGGGAAAGUGGAAUUCCCGGUGUAGAGGUGAAAUUCGUAGAAAUCGGGAGGAAUACCGGUGGGGAAGGGGACUUUCUGGCUGAAUACUGACGCUGAGGCGCGAAAGCGUGGGGAGCAAACAGGAUUAGAAACCCCAGUAGUCC
rnacentral:rRNA from 1 species